AAUUACUCGCUAAACAACAACAGUAGCCAACAAGACAAAAGCCACAAGCUAACGGCGAAAAUGUUGAAUGAACGUCUCCUGAACACAGGUGUAGUCAGUGAAUGCAGCACCAUACAGACAGUGAUGGAGAUGAGCCACAUCACAUGGACUGUGAAAGGAAUGACACUUCCAGUGUCAGUAUGGACUUUCAUAUUAGAUGUUCUGCUGCCUCAGUGGAUGAGAUGAUGGAGAUGGAGGAACAUCCUACAGAACUGAUACCAACACCUCCUCUGUGCUGAUGCUGCUGGAUUUCCUGCCUGCGAGGAUGAAGUCCUGGAAAUGGAGGACCUUCAUACAGACCUACUGAUGCUGCUGGGUUUUGACGACGACAGCGGCUGGCCCCUGACUCAAGUUAUGUUAUUUGUUGCCCCUGUGGGUAAGAAAUAGCAUUUCUUGGGUGUGAAAGGGGGGUGCAGAAGUGUUUUUUUCACCUGUUUCCUGUCUUUUUCAAUAAAAAAUUUUGUACACCCCCCUGCUUUCCAUGUGAGGGCUCAUUAUGAGUCCCUAGUUUCAUCGCGCCCUUACCGAGCAAGCCCAGGAAUCGAACCACCGGCCAGCCUCACAGUAGACAGUUGUGUUUGCCCCACCGACCUUCUGACUGAGCUAUCUGUGAGCUACUAAUGAAGUGUUCGGAACUUGUAUUUAUUGUGUGUUUUUUGGACCUGAACGUGUGUAAAAGUUCAAGCAUUCUCUGUGGGUCUUGAACUAACUACCUUUGAGUGCAGGGGAUGAGUCUUGCACUAGUUUUAACCACUGAGCUAUUCUAUCAGCUGAUACUACAACUUUGGAAGUUGUAUUUAUUGUGUUUGCUUCCGCUCCUCUGUUUUUUGGGUGAAAAGCAAGUACCUGAGCGGGACUUGAUCUCACAACCCUCAAAUCUGUAGUGAAAGUGUGCUUUUUGCCUGAUGCUUAGGCCACUGAGCUAAACUCAAGGUUGGGAAGUUGGAGUCAAUUUCCAAGUAUAAGAAAUGUGUACAGCUGAAACCCUGAGGAGCGAGAAGGGACGGAAAUUUUGAAAAAAUAGAUCCCGGUGUGGGAUUUGAACCCACAAUCUCAAAAGUUGUAGGGUUGUGUGACAUUUGCCCCAUUUCUUAACCACUGUGCUACAGCUGAAUUGCUGAUGUGAGAGGUUUUUUUUUGGUAUUUGAGGCAUAAACUUGAACUGUGAUGACAGACUCUGCUCCAUCUCCAAGUAGGGUCUAGGCCUUUGGCUCAAAGAGGUCAGGAAGGGGAACUGAACCAGACUGAAAGUCAUGUGAAGUCUGUGAUACAGACAACUCACCACCACACCAGUCUAACCUGCCAUGUGACGGAGUCUGGUCAACACCAGCUCUGAAUGGAAAGUGUCCUGACAUGACUUCUGUUAUGAUUUGAUGCUUUAUAAAUAAAAUUGGAUUUGGAUUAUUGAACUGGUUCAGUGUUUUCUCCAUGAAGACUGAUGUUCAUAGUGCUGUCAGAGGUUUAAUGUGUUACCCGCAUAUAUUUUUUUGUGAAGUGUUUCUGUAAAGUCCUGUACCAGUUUUAGAGCACUGAGAUUUUACUAGUUAGUAUUAGUUGAUUUGUCCACUUAUUAUUUUUUGAGUAACAGUCAUUGCAGACUAUCACAUGGCAGAUUAGGCUGGUGUGGUGGUGAGUUGUGUAAAAGCUUAAAUGUUCUUUGCAGGUCUUGAACUAGCUCCCUUUCAGUGCAGGGGAUGAGUCUCAUACUGGUCUUAAACACUGAGCUAUUCUGUCAGCUACUGAUGAAGUGUUUGGAACUUGUAUUUAUUGUGUGUUUUUUGGACCUGAAAAUAUGUAAUAGCUCAAGUGUUUUCUGUGGGUCUUGAACUAACUACCUACAAGUGCAGGGGAUGAGUAUUGUACUAGUUUUAACCACUGAGCUUUUCCAUCAGCUGAUACUGCAAAUUUGGAAGUUGUAUUUAUUGUGUUUGCUUCCGCUCCUCUGUUUUUUGAGUGAAAAGUAAAUACCAGAGCAGGACUUGAUCUCACAACCUUUAAAUCUGUAGUCAAAGUGCGCUUUUUGCCUGAUGCUUAGACCACUGAGCUAAACUCAAGGUUAGGAAGUUGGAGUCAAUUUCCAAGUAUAAGAAAUGUGUACAGCUGAAACCCUGAGGAGCGAGAAGGGACGGAAAUUUUGAAAAAAUAGAUCCCGGUGUGGGAUUUGAACCCACAAUCUCAAAAGUUGUAGGAUUGUGUGACAUUUGCCCCAUUUCUUAACCACUGUGCUACAGCUGAAUUACUGAUGUGAGAGGGGUUUUUUUUUGGUAUUUGAGGCGUAAACUUGAACUGUGAGGACUGACUCUGCUCCAUCUCCAAGUAGGGUCUAGGCCUUUGGCUCAAAGAGGUCAGGAAGGGGAACUGAACCAGACUGAAAGUCAUGUGAAGUCUGUGAUACAGACAACUCACCACCACACCAGCCUAACCUGCCAUGUGAUAGAGUCUGGUCAACACCAGCUCUGAAUGGAAAGUGUCCUGACAUGACUUCUGUUAUGAUUUGAUGCUUUAUAAAUAAAAUUGGAUUUGGAUUAUUGAACUGGUUCAGUGUUUUCUCCAUGAAGACUGAUGUUCAUAGUGCUGUCAGAGGUUUAAUGUGUUACCCGCAUAUAUUUUUUUGUGAAGUGUUUCUGUAAAGUCCUGUACCAGUUUUAGAGCACUGAGAUUUUACUAGUUAGUAUUAGUUGAUUUGUCCACUUAUUAUUUUUUGGGUAACAGUCAUUGCAGACUCUAUCACAUGGCAGGUUAGACUGGUGUGGUGGUGAGUUGUCUGUAUCACAGACUUCACAUGACUUUCAGUCUGGUUCAGUUCCCCUUCCUGACCUCUUUGAGCCAAAGGCCUAGACCCUACUUGGAGAUGGAGCAGAGUCAGUCCUCACAGUUCAAGUUUAUGCCUCAAAUACCAAAAAAAAACCUCUCACAUCAGCAAUUCAGCUGUAGCACAGUGGUUAAGAAAUGGGGCAAAUGUCACACAACCCUACAACUUUUGAGAUUGUGGGUUCAAAUCCCACACCGGGAUCUAUUUUUUCAAAAUUUCCGUCCCUUCUCGCUCCUCAGGGUUUCAGCUGUAUACAUUUCUUAUACUUGGAAAUUGACUCCAACUUCCCAACCUUGAGUUUAGCUCAGUGGUCUAAGCAUCAGGCAAAAAGCACACUUUCACUAUAGUUUCGAGGGUUGUGAGAUCAAGUCCCGCUCAGGUACUUGCUUUUCACCCAAAAAACAGAGGAGCGGAAGCAAACACAAUAAAUACAACUUCCAAAUUUGUAGUAUCAGCUGAUAGAAUAGCUCAGUGGUUAAAACUAGUGCAAGACUCAUCCCCUGCACUCAAAGGUAGUUAGUUCAAGACCCACAGAGAAUGCUUGAACUUUUACACACGUUCAGGUCCAAAAAACACACAAUAAAUACAAGUUCCGAACACUUCAUUAGUAGCUCACAGAUAGCUCAGUUAGAAGGUCGGUGGGGCAAAUACAACUGUCUACUGUGAGGCUGGCCGGUGGUUCGAUUCCUGGGCUUGCUCAGUAAGGGCGCGAUGAAACUAGGGACUCAUAAUGAGCCCUCACAUGGAAAGCAGGGGGGUGUACAAAAUUUUUUAUUGAAAAAGACAGAAAACAGGUGAAAAAAACACUUCUGCACCCCCCCUUUCACACCCAAGAAAUGCUAUUUCUUACCCACAGGGGCAACAAAUAACAUAACUUGAGUCAGGGGCCAGCCGCUGUCGUCGUCAAAACCUGGAAGAAAAACAACACAAAAACUUACACUCAACAUAACCUUCAAAAAACACACCAAUAGCAUUACACAGACAAUUCAGUUCAGUUACAUCACAUUAGGAAAACUACUCAAUAGCUUCAAAACACAACCAAUACAAAUACACUUUCAAAAAACACAAGACAUAUUCAUGGAACCUCAAAUACUAAACAAACACUGAUCAUUAUUCUAAAACACCAGCUCGUCAUCAUCUCCUGCUCCAUAACCCCUCCCUGACACAUCUCACGAAACGCGGAGGGGUCUAGGCCCCCUCCGCCCCUCCCUCUCCGUCCGCUCCCGAUACUCAGCUCCCACGAGUCUUGAACCUUCAACCUGCCGAUGACAGGCGGCCGGACAACAGCCAAGGACCAAGCCACUGAGCCACCGAGCACCGGGGCACUAACACCUCCUGUCUCACUGCUUUUCACACAACUGCACAGGACCACAGGCCCAACAACACAUAGAAUCAAACAAAAACAUCACAAAAGCUCAUCUGUUUCACUGGAGCAAAUUCACUCAGCUUUUACACAACACUAAUCUCUCACACAUUAACACUCACAGCCACACUGUACAAAACCUCACACUCCUCUAAAACCCUUCCAAAUAAAACAUACUAUUUCAUCCAAUUUAACUCAGACAGUGGAGAAAACAUCAGGAAUGCAUAUUUCUGGACUAUGUCUGCAUUAGAAACCAAAUCAAACUUACAAAUCUGGGAAGAACAACCAUUUCACAAACCACACACCUGCUACUACUCAUCAAAUAAACCAUCUGACAAAAACAGGACAAAAUGCGUCUCAUCCAUUUAACUGGGCCUUUAUGGGACAAAUUCACAGUCAGUAUCUGAGUCAUUAAACACACACAACCAGACUGUAGAAAACCUGGAUAAAUCUAAUUUCAAUCUAAUCCUGAACUCUCACCAAUUCUACAAAAAACUAUUCAGUAAACAGUUGGACAAAUUCAUAGAUAAACAUACACUACUCACUCAAAGUCAAUACUGAUUCAGACCAAACAGAGCAACUUCACUGGUAUUAGUAGAGUCAACAGAGGAAACUACCAACUCAGUAGAUCAAAACCAUCACACAGUUGGAGCAUUCACUGACCUCACAAAAGCUUUUCAGUAAUAAAGAUAAAAUAUCUCACCCAGCAGCAUCAGUAGGUCUGUAUGAAGGUCCUCCAUUUCCAGGACUUCAUCCUCGCAGGCAGGAAAUCUACAAGUGGGACAAAAGAAUUACUGACAUUACUUUGACAUCCUACAGAGAACAUGUGGAAUGAGAAAGACCAUCCAUUCUAUGAAAGGUUUUUGCUGCGCCGACAUUCUGUCACUGUUCCUGUGCCUGUGUGUUGCACACUGCCCAAAUACCUGGCCCCUCCCCUUCACACAGACCAGCAAAGUGCAUCAGCACCUCUCACACUCACUCGGCUGCAGCAGAGAAGGAGAGAGAAAACGGCAGAGGGGAAGAGUAAGGUGUGGAGCCACUUCACAAAAGACUCCACAGGCACUAGAUGCAACAUCUGCAGUGCAAGAGUUAGCCAGGGCUCCAGCACCAGCAAAGCAAAGAACACUACAAAUGUUCUUAUUUAUCAUUGUGUUUACCAUUUGCUUUUCUUAUAUCAUUGUGUUUACAGUUUGCCUUUUCUAAUUUAUCAUUGUUUGCAGUUUGCCUUUCCUUAUUUAUCAGUGGGUUUACAGUCCUUUUGUUGACAGUGUUACUAAUUAAAGUUUCUUAUUUUAAUUUA